rnacentral:rRNA from 1 species
AUUGAACGCUGGCGGCAUGCCUUACACAUGCAAGUCGAACGGCAGCACGGGUGCUUGCACCUGGUGGCGAGUGGCGAACGGGUGAGUAAUGCAUCGGAACGUACCGUGUAACGGGGGAUAACGUAGCGAAAGUUACGCUAAUACCGCAUACGACCUGAGGGUGAAAGCAGGGGAUCGCAAGACCUUGCGUUAUACGAGCGGCCGAUGUCAGAUUAGCUAGUUGGUGAGGUAAAGGCUCACCAAGGCGACGAUCUGUAGCGGGUCUGAGAGGACGAUCCGCCACACUGGGACUGAGACACGGCCCAGACUCCUACGGGAGGCAGCAGUGGGGAAUUUUGGACAAUGGGGGCAACCCUGAUCCAGCCAUGCCGCGUAAGUGAAGAAGGCCUUCGGGUUGUAAAGCUCUUUCGGCCGGGAAGAAAUCGCACAGGCUAAUACUCUGUGUGGAUGACGGUACCGGCAUAAGAAGCAUCGGCUAACUACGUGCCAGCAGCCGCUGUAA